rnacentral:SRP_RNA from 1 species
GCCGGACGCGGUGGCGCGCGCCUGUAGUCCCAGCUACUCGGGAGGCUGAGAUGGGAGGAUCGCUUGAGCCCAGGAGUUCUGGGCUGUAGUGCGCUAUGCCGAUCGGGUGUCCGCACUAAGUUCGGCAUCAAUAUGGUGACCUCCCAGGAGCGGGGGACCACCAGGUUGCCUAAGGAGGGGUGAACCGGCCCAGGUCGGAAACGGAACAGGUCAAAACUCCCGUGCUGAUCAGUAGUGGGAUCGCGCCUGUGAAUAGCCACUGCACUCCAGCCUGGGCAACAUAGCGAGACCCGUCUCUU